GAUGAAGAACGUAGCGAAAUGCGAUAACUAAUGUGAAUUGCAGAAUUCAGUGAAUCAUCGAGUCUUUGAACGCACAUUGCGCCCCCUGGUAUUCCGGGGGGCAUGCCUGUCCGAGCGUCAUUGCUGCCCUCAAGCACGGCUUGUGUGUUGGGCUCCGUCCUCCCGGGGACGGGCCCGAAAGGCAGCGGCGGCACCGAGUCCGGUCCUCGAGCGUAUGGGGCUUUGUCACCCGCUCUGUAGGCCCGGCCGGCGCCAGCCGACAACCCAUCAUCCUUUUCAGGUUGACCUCGGAUCAGGUAGGGAUACCCGCUGAACUUAAGCAUAUCAAUAAGCGGAGGA
rnacentral:misc_RNA from 1 species